rnacentral:rRNA from 1 species
AUGGGCGGUUUCGGCUUCAGAGAUAUCGAAUUAUUUAACCUUGGUUUGUUAGCUCGCCAAGCUUCGAGACUUAUUCAAGCGCCGGAGUCCUUGAGUGCCCGAGUUUUGAAGGCCAGGUACUUCCCCGAAUGUCAUCUGUUGGAUGCCACGCUAGGCUCGUCCCCAUCGCAGGGCCUUAUAAGGCGCAUUGGAUCAGGUACAUCCACGCACAUAUGGAAUGAUAACUGGCUGCCUAGGGAUUACAAACUACGUCCUAUCUGUCCUAUAUCUACAGACCCACCUCAACUCGUGGCCGAACUCAUCAACCCAGCGACGAGAACAUGGGACAGACUAGUUCUUGCCAAUCAUUUUAUUGCUCCAGAUGUAGAUGUCAUACUAAACAUACCUCUAAGCUCACUGGUGCAGGAGGACUUCUGGGCAUGGCAUUAUGAAAAACGUGGUAUGUUCGUCCGGUCGGCGUACAGGAUGAUUGCUGCGGUGAAGAAGCAGAGGGAGGACUGGUUGGAGCAUAGACCGAGUCACUCGAACACCCAAGCGGCAAAGAAAUCUUGGUCUUCGCUUUGGAAAUUAAAAGUCCCUUCGAAGGUGCCCAUUUUUGUAUGGAGAUUGGCCCACACUUCUCUUCCCACAGGGACAGUAAGACAUGAAAGAAACAUGGCAGACUCGUCAGCAUGUCCAAUUUGCAAAUCAGAAGUUGACUCAUGGCGGCAUUCGCUGAUUAACUGCUGGAUGGCGAGAUGUGUAUGGGCGUUAGGAGAUGAGGAGACGUUGGAGCAUAUGAUCUCAAACCAGUCAGACGACGCUAGGCUCUGGCUCUUCUAG